rnacentral:rRNA from 1 species
UGUAAACCUCUUUUAGCAGGGAAGAAGCGAAAGUGACGGUACCUGCAGAAAAAGCACCGGCUAACUACGUGCCAGCAGCCGCGGUAAUACGUAGGGUGCAAGCGUUGUCCGGAAUUAUUGGGCGUAAAGAGCUCGUAGGCGGUUUGUCGCGUCUGCUGUGAAAUCCCGAGGCUCAACCUCGGGUCUGCAGUGGGUACGGGCAGACUAGAGUGCGGUAGGGGAGAUUGGAAUUCCUGGUGUAGCGGUGGAAUGCGCAGAUAUCAGGAGGAACACCGAUGGCGAAGGCAGAUCUCUGGGCCGCUACUGACGCUGAGGAGCGAAAGGGUGGGGAGCAAACAGGCUUAGAUACCCUGGUAGUCCACCCCGUAAACGUUGGGCGCUAGAUGUGGGGACCAUUCCACGGUUUCCGUGUCGUAGCUAACGCAUUAAGCGCCC